rnacentral:tRNA from 1 species
UAGUGAUUAGUUUAAUAAAAACAAAUGAUUUCGACUCAUUAGACUAUGAUUGACCAUAAUCACUAA